GAACGAACGCUGGCGGCAGGCUUAACACAUGCAAGUCGAACGCUCCUAGCAAUAGGGGAGUGGCAGACGGGUGAGUAACGCGUGGGAACAUACCCUCCGGUUCGGAAUAACUCAGGGAAACUUGAGCUAAUACCGGAUACGGUCGAGAGGCGAAAGAUUUAUCGCCGGAGGAUUGGCCCGCGUCCGAUUAGCUAGUUGGUGUGGUAAUGGCGCACCAAGGCGACGAUCGGUAGCUGGUCUGAGAGGAUGAUCAGCCACAUUGGGACUGAGACACGGCCCAAACUCCUACGGGAGGCAGCAGUGGGGAAUAUUGGACAAUGGGCGCAAGCCUGAUCCAGCCAUGCCGCGUGAGUGAWGAMGGCCUUAGGGUUGUAAAGCUCUUUCGCUCGGGACRAUAAUGACGGUACCGAGAUAAGAAGCCCCGGCUAACUUCGUGCCAGCAGCCGCGGUAAUACGAAGGGGGCUAGCGUUGUUCGGAAUUACUGGGCGUAAAGCGCGUGUAGGCGGGCUUUUAAGUCAGGGGUGAAAUGCCGAGGCUCAACCUCGGAACUGCCUUUGAUACUGGAAGUCUUGAGUCCGGGAGAGGUGAGUGGAACUGCGAGUGUAGAGGUGAA
rnacentral:rRNA from 1 species